CGCCACAAGCAGAUGAAGCUGCCAGCAUGAUCUGAAAGCAUAUACGUUUAGUUCUCAAAUAAGCAAAUCAGAUCAUCCGGCAGUUUCAUCUUCUCAUGGC
rnacentral:pre_miRNA from 1 species